UGGUGUGUAACUCAUGAGGUAGAGUAUUAGGCUUUUAACUUAGAAGAGGUUGGUUCAACUCCAAUCACACCAA
rnacentral:tRNA from 1 species